rnacentral:rRNA from 1 species
CCAUUCUGGUGCGGUUAGCGUAUUAACAGGUGUGACGCAGGAAGGUAGCCCAACCCGGGCGAUGAAGGACGUAGCAAUCUGCGAUAAGCCUCGGGGAGUGGAUAAGCACACUUUGAUCCGAGGGUCUCCGAAUGGGGAAACCCCGCUGGGCGGCGUGCCGACCCGGUGACUCCCGCCUGAAUAUAUAGGGCGGGUAGAGGGAACGUGGGGAAGUGAAACAUCUCAGUACCCACAGGAAGAGAAAGCAACCGCGAUUCCGUUAGUAGUGGCGAGCGAAACCGGAACAGGCUAAACCGAGUACGUGUGAUAUCCGGCAGGAGUUGCGUAUUCGGGGUUGUGGGACUUUUCAGGCUGCUCUGCCGAGCAGCCGGCGUUACAAGAAGGUAUAGACGAACUGGAUUGAAAGCCAGGUCAUAGAGGGUGCCAACCCCGUAGUCGAAAUGCCUCCCUUGGCGCGAAGAGUAUCCCAAGUAGCACGGGGCCCGAGAAAUCCCGUGUGAAUCUGUCAGGACCACCUGAUAAGCCUAAAUACUCCCAGAUGACCGAUAGCGGACAAGUACCGUGAGGGAAAGGUGAAAAGUACCCCGGGAGGGGAGUGAAAUAGUACCUGAAACCGUUUGCUUACAAACCGUUGGAGCAGCCCUAGCAGCUGUGACAGCGUGCCUUUUGAAGAAUGAGCCUGCGAGUUAGCGAUACGUGGCGAGGUUAACCCGUGAGGGGUAGCCGUAGCGAAAGCGAGUCUGAAUAGGGCGAUUCAGUCGCGUGUCCUAGACCCGAAGCGAAGUGAUCUAUCCAUGGCCAGGUUGAAGCGACGGUAAGACGUCGUGGAGGACCGAACCCACUUAGGUUGAAAACUGAGGGGAUGAGCUGUGGAUAGGGGUGAAAGGCCAAUCAAACUUCGUGAUAGCUGGUUCUCUCCGAAAUGCAUUUAGGUGCAGCGUUGCGUGUUUCUUGCCGGAGGUAGAGCUACUGGAUGGCCGAUGGGCCCUACAAGGUUACUGACGUCAGCCAAACUCCGAAUGCCGGUAAGUGAGAGCGCAGCAGUGAGACUGUGGGGGAUAAGCUUCAUAGUCGAGAGGGAAACAACCCAGACCACCAACUAAGGUCCCAAAGCGCGUGCUAAGUGGGAAAGGAUGUGGAGUUGCCUUGACAACCAGGAGGUUGGCUUAGAAGCAGCCACCCUUGAAAGAGUGCGUAAUAGCUCACUGGUCAAGUGAUUCCGCGCCGACAAUGUAACGGGGCUCAAGCACGCCACCGAAGUUGUGGCAUUGACAUUAUUGGUAGGCCUUCGUGGUCCAGCCGUGUUGAUGGGUAGGAGAGCGUCGUGUGGCCAGCGAAGCGGCGGUGUGAACCAGCCGUGGAGGCUACACGAGUGAGAAUGCAGGCAUGAGUAGCGAAAGACAUGUGAGAAACAUGUCCUCCGAAAGACCAAGGGUUCCAGGGUCAAGCUAAUCUUCCCUGGGUAAGUCGGGACCUAAGGCGAGGCCGACAGGCGUAGUCGAUGGACAACGGGUUGAUAUUCCCGUACCGGCGAAGAACCGCCCAAGCUAAUCCAGUAGUGCUAAGUGUCUGAAUCCCACUGACGGAUCCCUUCGGGGUGAAGCGUUGGGCCUAGCGCACGACCCCAUUCUGGUGCGGUUAGCGUAUUAACAGGUGUGACGCAGGAAGGUAGCCCAACCCGGGCGAUGGUUGUCCCGGGGCAAGUGCGUAGGCCGAGAGAUAGGCAAAUCCGUCUCUCACAUAGGCUGAGACACGAUGCGGAUAUAAAGUGGGUGAUCCUAUGCUGCCAAGAAAAGCAUCGACGCGAGGUUCUAGCCGCCCGUACCCCAAACCGACUCAGGUGGUCAGGUAGAGAAUACCAAGGAGAUCGAGAGAAUCGUGGUUAAGGAACUCGGCAAAAUGCCCCCGUAACUUCGGGAGAAGGGGGGCCUUCGGCGUAUUAGGACUUGCUCCGAAAGCGUUUGGAGGCCGCAGAGACUAGUGGGUAGCGACUGUUUAUUAAAAACACAGGUCCGUGCCAAGUCGCAAGACGAUGUAUACGGACUGACGCCUGCCCGGUGCUGGAAGGUUAAGAGGACCGGUUAGCCGCAAGGCGAAGCUGAGAAUUUAAGCCCCAGUAAACGGCGGUGGUAACUAUAACCAUCCUAAGGUAGCGAAAUUCCUUGUCGGGUAAGUUCCGACCUGCACGAAUGGCGUAACGACUUCCCAACUGUCUCAACCGCGAACUCGGCGAAAUUGCACUACGAGUAAAGAUGCUCGUUACGCGCAGCAGGACGGAAAGACCCCGUGACCUUUACUACAGCUUGGUAUUGGUGUUCGGUGUGGCUUGUGUAGGAUAGGUGGGAGACUGUGAAGCGGUGACGCCAGUUACCGUGGAGUCAUUGUUGAAAUACCACUCUGGUCACUCUGGAUAUCUAACUUCGAACCGUAAUCCGGUUCAGGGACAGUGCCUGGUGGGUAGUUUAACUGGGGCGGUUGCCUCCCAAAAAGUAACGGAGGCGCCCAAAGGUUCCCUCAACCUGGUUGGCAAUCAGGUGUCGAGUGUAAGUGCACAAGGGAGCUUGACUGUGAGACUGACAGGUCGAGCAGGGACGAAAGUCGGGACUAGUGAUCCGGCAGUGGCUUGUGGAAGCGCUGUCGCUCAACGGAUAAAAGGUACCUCGGGGAUAACAGGCUGAUCUUGCCCAAGAGUCCAUAUCGACGGCAUGGUUUGGCACCUCGAUGUCGGCUCGUCGCAUCCUGGGGCUGGAGUAGGUCCCAAGGGUUGGGCUGUUCGCCCAUUAAAGCGGUACGCGAGCUGGGUUUAGAACGUCGUGAGACAGUUCGGUCCCUAUCCGCUGCGCGCGUAGGAAAUUUGAGAGGAUCUGACCCUAGUACGAGAGGACCGGGUUGGACGAACCUCUGGUGUGCCAGUUGUUCUGCCAAGAGCACCGCUGGUUAGCUACGUUCGGGAUGGAUAACCGCUGAAAGCAUCUAAG